rnacentral:rRNA from 1 species
GACGAACGCUGGCGGCGUGCUUAACACAUGCAAGUCGAGCGGUAAGGCCCUUUCGGGGGUACACGAGCGGCGAACGGGUGAGUAACACGUGGGUGACCUGCCCUCAGCUCUGGGAUAAGCCUGGGAAACCGGGUCUAAUACCGGAUAUGACUCCAUGACGCAUGUUGUGGGGUGGAAAGCCUUGUGCGGCUGAGGAUGGGCCCGCGGCCUAUCAGCUUGUUGGUGGGGUGAUGGCCUACCAAGGCGACGACGGGUAGCCGGCCUGAGAGGGCGACCGGCCACACUGGGACUGAGACACGGCCCAGACUCCUACGGGAGGCAGCAGUGGGGAAUCUUGCGCAAUGGGCGAAAGCCUGACGCAGCGACGCCGCGUGAGGGA